ensembl:lncRNA
UGUCGGUCCAUGUGGAUAAGAUACAGCUGCCAGAACUUCUUCCAUGCUCUACCAAACCUGAAAGUGGCACAAUCACUACGGAGUCCUGCAGCACUAACUGACAAGUGUUUUUCAGAACAAAGAUGAAUACUUCCAUAAAUUUAAAAACCAAGCAAGAAAGGUAAAUUUUCAUAUCUUCUUUUGUAAUAUAAAAUCGAAACAGUCUUUUUUCCUUCUUUCCUGAGAUAGAUUUUAAAUUGACUGCUAUGCUGGAAAUACACUGGGGACGUUCAUUCUUCUCAUUCCAAUUUGAAAGAUUAAGCUCUUCAAUUAUUAAAUUAUACCCAUAGCCAAUAAGUUGCUGUGCAAUUAAUCUUUGAAAGUAG